AUUGAACGCUGGCGGCAGGCCUAACACAUGCAAGUCGAACGGUAACAGGAAGCAGCUUGCUGCUUUGCUGACGAGUGGCGGACGGGUGAGUAAUGUCUGGGAAACUGCCCGAUGGAGGGGGAUAACUACUGGAAACGGUAGCUAAUACCGCAUAACGUCGCAAGACCAAAGAGGGGGACCUUAGGGCCUCUUGCCAUCGGAUGUGCCCAGAUGGGAUUAGCUAGUAGGUGGGGUAACGGCUCACCUAGGCGACGAUCCCUAGCUGGUCUGAGAGGAUGACCAGCCACACUGGAACUGAGACACGGUCCAGACUCCUACGGGAGGCAGCAGUGGGGAAUAUUGCACAAUGGGCGGAAGCCUGAUGCAGCCAUGCCGCGUGUAUGAAGAAGGCCUUCGGGUUGUAAAGUACUUUCAGCGGGGAGGAAGGGAGUAAAGUUAAUACCUUUGCUCAUUGACGUUACCCGCAGAAGAAGCACCGGCUAACUCCGUG
rnacentral:rRNA from 1 species